CUGAAUGAGUUCUGCUCACUUUCAAGGGCUGCAGCCUUCUGUUGGGGGCCUUGGUUCACCUAUAGUGACUCAGAGGGCAGAAAGGUGGGAAGAACAUCACCAGUUCCUUUUUCUCCCCUCCAGGGUCCUGCUGAUGAUAUUGAAGCCCAGGGAGAAGCUCUGAGGAAAAAAGCAGAUGUCCAUCUGCAGUGGCAGCAGGGAGGGAGCAGGGGGCAUCCGGCCAGCCUCAGGGAGACGUCCAGGUUGGGCAUUUGCCAGGACAGCUAGCCGUGUGUCCUCAGCUGUGAUGUCACACAGGGAUGCUGGCCCUGUGGGUUAUCUGUCUGCUCCCUCACAAGCCAGUGUUUGCCCUCAGCCAUUCACCAAGCUCUGUGGAUUGCAGGUCACCUCGUGGCUCCUCCAUGAAGAGGCAAGAAUAAGGGAGCAAGAGAGAACUGUGGGUCUAUCUCCCCAGUGUCUUCAGCGGUCACAGUUGCUCAGAUCUUCAUGGUUUCCAGGGUCUGACAAUGGUCAGCAUGGCCAGGCACUCCAUAGAAAGUACCCCCUCGGGAUACAUCCUGGGUUUAGCUCUUGCUAAGGCUGGGGUCAUGGGACUGAGAGGAAGAAGCGGGAGUAGAGUGUACUCAGAGCAUCCCGUCGAAGGGCAGUGUGGUUAGCAUGACUGAUGGAUGUCAAGAUGACCUUGGGCACCUGCUGAGGUCAAGUUUGUCAUGUAGUCUGAAUGAAGCAGUGGAGUUCCUCUUC